rnacentral:tRNA from 9 species
GCCGGAAUAGCUCAGUUGGUAGAGCAGGGGACUGAAAAUCCUCG